CGUAGUACCUAAAAUCGAUACAACGUGGCGCUGUACAAAUACUUCGAAUUAUUUAAAAUCAGAUCUACCUUAUAUAAUAUGUCAUAAUUAUUCAUAAUCUGUGCAUAAAAGUUAUUGUUAUGAUUCAUCAUUAUUUGUACAUUUUUUAAAUAUACAAUUAUUCCAGUCUUUUCAAUUGAUUUGAUCAAAUGUAAACGCGUGAAUUAAAAUAAUAUAAAUAGUUAGAAUUAAUAAUCAUAAAUAAUAUUUGAAUAACAUAUCUCUCGCGCGUUAUUACGAGAGAAAUAUUUCAAUGAUGAUUCGGCAAUUCUUACGUAGAUAAAUAAUUCGAAGGUCUCGUUUGUUCCCUGAAUGAAUGAAUAUUAACUGGGAGUAGAUAAAUCUAAUAUGGCGGAGGCGUGAAAAAUGUUAGGAAGAA